rnacentral:rRNA from 1 species
GACGAACGCUGGCGGCGUGCUUAACACAUGCAAGUCGAACGGAAAGGCCCUGCUUUUGUGGGGUGCUCGAGUGGCGAACGGGUGAGUAACACGUGAGUAACCUGUCCUUGACUUUGGGAUAACUUCAGGAAACUGGGGCUACUACCGGAUAGGAGCUCCUGCUGCAUGGUGGGGGUUGGAAAGUUUCGGCGGUUGGGGAUGGACUCGCGGCUUAUCAGCUUGUUGGUGGGGUAGUGGCUUACCAAGGCUUUGACGGGUAGCCGGCCUGAGAGGGUGACCGGCCACAUUGGGACUGAGAUACGGCCCAGACUCCUACGGGAGGCAGCAGUGAGGAAUAUUGCACAAUGGGCGGAAGCCUGAUGCAGCAACGCCGCGUGCGGGAUGACGGCCUUCGGGUUGUAAACCGCUUUCGCCUGUGACGAAGCGUGAGUGACGGUAAUGGGUAAAGAAGCACCGGCUAACUACGUG